UGUCACUCUACUUUUUUAUGAUGUCUAAUUUCUGUGGUCUCUAGGACUAAUACAUUGUCAUAGAUUUGGGAAGGUAAAAACAUAUUCGGAAGAUGGAAGUUUGGAUAUAUCUCAGAAAAUAAAAGAACACCCUAAUUAGUUCUCCGUGGAGCCUUGGGACCUUUUGUUCCGCACCUUCCCUCCAGAGGGCGAUGCUGCACAAACUUAAAGAUCUUACUGAUCUUCAUCCUCUCAGUCCCUCCUCCUGCAGCUGACUGAGUUCUUCGCACAGAGAAGAAACAGACAUCAGAAACCUCCAGGCUCAUCUCAGCAGCUUUUGUGAUUUUAUCUAACAAGGAACUUAUCCAGCGCAACGUUCCCCACACUUAUUUACUGCCACUUUCCUGUCUGCUCAGAGGAGGUCUUUCAGAAAAGACCUCACAACCUUUCCACCGCUCAGCCAUGCUCCUGUUGCUCAUCUCAGUACUGGGGAUGACAUUUACCCUGAGAGAUGCCCGAGCCCAGACAGUGACCCAGCCUGAUGACCAUGUUUUGAUCUCUGAAAAAGCCUCACUGGAGCUGAGGUGCAACUAUUCCUAUGGUGCAAGCGUGUAUCUCUUCUGGUACGUCCAGUACCCCUGCCACGGACUCCAGCUUCUCCUCAAGUACUUUUCAGGCGAUCCUUUGGUUCAAGGCAUUAAAGGCUUUGAGGCUGAAUAUAAGAGAAGUGAAUCUUCCUUCAACCUUAGGAAAUCCUCAGUCCAUUGGAGUGACUCAGCUGAGUACUUCUGUGCUGUAUCACCU